UAUUCCAGCCUAUGAGCAGGAUAGUAUUUACACUUCAUGGUAGAUUACAGAAGACUGUGCACUUGCUUUAACAAUAUGCUCUCUACACAGUUCCAACUGUACAAUUAUGAUUCAGCAGCUCUCCUUCCCAGGCUGAAUUUGCAUUACUCAGCAGCAAUACCUGGCUCCAGGGAAUUCUGAUGCUGGGACUCAGGGUGUGGGGGUUAAAUUUGUCUUCUACAGAGUAGAUCCUAGGGAGGAAGCUGAGUGAGAACUGCACUGGAUAAGAGAGGCUCCUGGGUUAAGAGGAGCAACCAGCUGAACCAAUAUAGCAUCAUGGGAAGGAGAGGGGAGCAGUCCCAUGCAGGUACCAGCACUGUGCCCUGGGACCCUGAGGAGAAGGGAAGCUGUUGAUGAUGUCGUCUCCCUGCAGCCAAGCAACAGCCCAACACUUCGGCCACCAGCAAGAGCCAAGGGCAGCAUGUCUCUUACAUUGGAAUGCUCCCAGGGCAGCCAAAGUCCCCAUCUCUGGAGCUGGCUAUGUUGACCAGAAUGCUUCAGUGUCUGUGGAGAAAAGCAACUGGAACGUCAUGAACCAACUUUCUCAUGAGGGAGGACUCUGAGCCUCCCAAGAGUGAAGCUUCAGUUUUCAUGUUGUCACAGAGACUGACAAAAUCUCUGCUCUGGAUGAAUUAAACUGGAUCUGAGCUCCCCUAAGGAUGAGAACCACUGGGUGCCCUAUAUGUCAUGCCUGCAGAUCAUCCGUCAGAGGGCAGCUCCCUGGAUGCACAGUGCAAACAGAUACAUCUCUAAGGACUGAAAGAGUACACAGCUCCUACACGGAGGCAGACCCAGGCUAGCAAGAGCCAGAGGCUCAUUAAAACAGUCAAGACUGUUUUGCCUUCUUUUUCUGUGGAGAAAGAAGGAUGUGGUAGCAAAGUUGUUGAAGCUGAAUUCCCUACUCCCUCAUGCAUGUCCAGGACAAGGAAUUUUUUCUUCCUGUUUUGAUUCUGCUUGUUUAUUUGUGUGUCUCUUUUGUUGUAUGCAACAAAAAAUGUGUGUUUUUUGUUGCACAUGUUCAGGCACUCAUGUGUAGAGGUAUUUGUCUGAUCUCAUACCAGAGAUGGAUCAUGGGACCACAAUGACAAACAAAACUGUCACGUGGGUCCUGGGAAGUUACCAACGCAGAUAAAUGAAUGCUUGAAGGGCUUGGAUGCAACACAUCACUUUUGUGAGACUGAAUUUCAAAGAAGCUAAGUGAAACCAAAUUAUAUACUUCCACUUAGUUUAAUACCACCCCCUAGUGUCACACUUUGUAUUUUUCCACGCUGGUCCUGGUUUGCCUCUGCCUCUGAAUAGUAUGACCUUGAAGAUGCAGCAGCAGCCACACUACCGAUCAUGCUUUCAGGAAAGUGACAAAACAAGUCUGCUUUUUAGAAGUAGAUUUGUUGCCAAGACAUCAGACUUCAAAUGUUUCUCCCAGGGAGUUUAGAAAGCUUUCAAGCUCCUUUCUUUUAUCUCUGCCUGGGAGAGAAGCCUUGGGAUACAGUUCCUUCUUCUGUUAGUGAGCACGAAGUACCCUGUUUGUUGUGAAGAUUUCAACUCCUGAUGACAUGUUUGCGGUAGACUGAUCAGAAAAGACAGUUUAUUCUUGAAAUAAGACCAAACAGAUACCUUGAAUAUUUAUAAGUCACCAUGAUUGGAUGACAUUUUCCUGAAAGCCAUGAAGGAGUUUAAAUGUGAAACUGUGAACUGCUGGCCAAGCUGUAUAACCUGUCAUUAAUGUAUCUGUGCCAGAGCCCUUGUGGAUUGCCAGUGUAACUCCCACUACGAAAAAUAAGUGGGGAAUCCGACUUCCUUCUGUGGCAAGACAGUGGUGUCUAUAAUAAACAGUAAGAUUGACAAGUA